GUUGGUGGGACUUGACCCCAGGAGUUGGUGGGACUUGACCCCAGGAGUCGGAGCCCAGUGAACCUGAAGAGAAUGAGACGAAGCCACAGUCCUCAGAGCUGCUUGUUAUCAACAGCAUAGCUCCUCCAGACAGCUGGGAACCAGCCCACACUGAUAUCGAACCUGAGCAACUGACAGAGACAGAAAUGCUGAUCCUGUCACAGACAGAGAAUCGGACAGCGAUACAGACACAGGACCAAACACAGACAUUAUCACAGACAGAGGAGUUUAUCAUACUUGAUCAGAAUGGACAGCCCAUACAGUGUGAACGCGUGGUGAUACUGACCGGUCAGUCAGACAACGGAGAGAUGUACGUUAUCCCCUCUAAUCAGGUAUUACUUCCUCGUGGACAACUACUGGACAUCAUAGACCUCACAGGAUCCUGCGGAGGGAAGACCGCGGAUGAGGAAGAGCUUCACACUAUCACGUUAACGGCCGUUACGGACGACAGCGGCGGUUCGACGACGGCCGUUACGGACGACAGCGGCGGUUCGACGUCGGCCGUUACGGACGACAGCGGCGGUUCGACGUCGGCCGUUACGGACGACAGCGGCGGUUCGACGACGGCCGUUACGGACGACAGCGGCGGUUCGACGUCGGCCGUUACGGACGGCAGCGGCGGUUCGACGUCGGUAACGUCGGCCGUUACGGACGGCAGCGGCGGUUCGAC
rnacentral:lncRNA from 1 species